rnacentral:rRNA from 3 species
GGACUACCCGGGUAUCUAAUCCCGUUCGCUACCCUAGCUUUCGUGCCUCAGCGUCAGAAAAGACCCAGUACGCCGCUUUCGCCACCGGUGUUCCUUAGGAUAUCAACGCAUUUCACCGCUCCACCCUAAGUUCCGCGUACCUCUAUCUUUCUCAAGCACAGCAGUUUCGGGCGCAAUUCUCCAGUUGAGCUGGAGGAUUUCACACCCGACUUUCUGCACCGCCUACGCACCCUUUAAGCCCAGUAAUUCCGAAUAACGUUAGCAAGGUUCGUCUUACCGCGGCGGCUGGCAC